rnacentral:sRNA from 1 species
GCAUGGCAGAAGAGGCAGAGAGGCCUGGGGAGAAAGCCGGCCAGCACAGCCCCCUGCGAGAGGAGCAUGUGACCUGCGUACAGAGCAUCUUGGACGAAUUCCUUCAAACAUAUGGCAGCCUCAUACCCCUCAGCACUGAUGAGGUAGUAGAGAAGCUGGAGGACAUUUUCCAGCAGGAGUUUUCCACCCCUUCCAGGAAGGGCCUGGUGUUGCAGCUGAUCCAGUCUUACCAGCGGAUGCCAGGCAAUGCCAUGGUAAGGGGCUUCCGAGUGGCCUAUAAGCGGCACGUGCUGACCAUGGAUGACUUGGGGACCUUGUAUGGACAGAACUGGCUCAAUGACCAGGUGAUGAACAUGUAUGGAGACCUGGUCAUGGACACAGUCCCUGAAAAGGUAGGCCCAACCAGAUAGGUCAGUACCCAGAGGAACUUCUGCAGUUUUAAGCAGCUUUUUAAGCUCCUUUCAUCUCUUUCAUUUUACACAGAGAGGGUCUCUGUUUCAGGGAGAGAGGUGGUAGUGGUAGUGUAUUAAUUUCAAAUCCGUAAUCUUGGGCCCUGGAUUUAUCAGUUGUUUUCCUUUCUGCCAGUAUUUAGUGUUUUUCGCUAUGGCCAGCCCCAAGGAUUGGGAUGGGUUCCUAUUGUAACUAUUGUAAAACAAGGUUUAAAAAAAAAAAAAAG